AGUGAACGCUGGCGGUAGGCCUAACACAUGCAAGUCGAACGGCAGCACAGUAAGAGCUUGCUCUUACGGGUGGCGAGUGGCGGACGGGUGAGGAAUACAUCGGAAUCUACUUUUUCGUGGGGAUAACGUAGGGAAACUUACGCUAAUACCGCAUACGACCUACGGGUGAAAGCAGGGGAUCUUCGGACCUUGCGCGAUUGAAUGAGCCGAUGUCGGAUUAGCUAGUUGGCGGGGUAAAGGCCCACUAAGGCGACGAUCCGUAGCUGGUCUGAGAGGAUGAUCAGCCACACUGGAACUGAGACACGGUCCAGACUCCUACGGGAGGCAGCAGUGGGGAAUAUUGGACAAAGGGCGCAAGCCUGAUCCAGCCAUACCGCGUGGGUGAAGAAGGCCUUCGGGUUGUAAAGCCCUUUUGUUGGGAAAGAAAAGCAGCAGGUUAAUACCCCGCUGUUCUGACGGUACCCAAAGAAUAAGCACCGGCUAACUUCGUG
rnacentral:rRNA from 1 species